rnacentral:rRNA from 1 species
CAGCAGCCACGGGAAUACGAAGGGUGCAAGCGUUAAUCGGAAUCACUGGGCAUAAAGCGUGCGUAGGCGGUGAGUUAAGUCUGCUGUGAAAUCCCCGGGCUCAACCUGGGAAUGGCAGUGGAUACUGGCUCGCUAGAGUGUGUCAGAGGAUGGUGGAAUUCCCGGUGUAGCGGUGAAAUGCGUAGAGAUCGGGAGGAACAUCAGUGGCGAAGGCGGCCAUCUGGGACAACACUGACGCUGAGGCACGAAAGCGUGGGGAGCAAACAGGAUUAGAUACCCCCGUAGUCCCUGUCUCUUAUAC